GGUGGAAACACAAGCAGCUCAAGUACAACUGCGGUCACAACCACACCACCAGCAGGCGGCGGAAACACAAGCAGCUCAAGUACAACUGCAGUCACAACCACCCCACCAGCAGGCGGCGGAAACACAAGCAGCUCAAGUACAACUGCAGUCACAACCACCCCACCAGCAGGCA